AACGAACGCUGGCGGCGUGCCUAACACAUGCAAGUCGUGCGAGAAAGUUCCUUCGGGAGCGAGUAAAGCGGCGCACGGGUGAGUAACACGUAGGUAACCUGCCCCCCAGUCUGGAACAACUAGAGGAAACUCUAGCUAAUGCCGGAUGAGACCACGAUCCCUUCGGGGGUUGCGGCCAAAGAUGGCCUCUACUUGUAAGCUAUCGCUGAGGGAUGGGCCUGCGGGCCAUUAGCUUGUUGGUGAGGUAACGGCUCACCAAGGCUGUGAUGGCUAGCUGGUCUGAGAGGAUGACCAGCCACACUGGGACUGAGACACGGCCCAGACUCCUACGGGAGGCAGCAGUGGGGAAUAUUGCGCAAUGGGCGAAGCCUGACGCAGCGACGCCGCGUGGGUGAUGAAGGCCUUC
rnacentral:rRNA from 1 species